AUUGAACGCUGGCGGCAGGCUUAACACAUGCAAGUCGAACGAUGAUUAUCUAGCUUGCUAGAUAUGAUUAGUGGCGGACGGGUGAGUAACAUUUAGGAAUCUGCCUAGUAGUGGGGGAUAGCUCGGGGAAACUCGAAUUAAUACCGCAUACGACCUACGGGUGAAAGGGGGCGCAAGCUCUUGCUAUUAGAUGAGCCUAAAUCAGAUUAGCUAGUUGGUGGGGUAAAGGCCCACCAAGGCGACGAUCUGUAACUGGUCUGAGAGGAUGAUCAGUCACACCGGAACUGAGACACGGUCCGGACUCCUACGGGAGGCAGCAGUGGGGAAUAUUGGACAAUGGGGGCAACCCUGAUCCAGCCAUGCCGCGUGUGUGAAGAAGGCCUUUUGGUUGUAAAGCACUUUAAGCAGGGAGGAGAGGCUAAUGGUUAAUACCCAUUAGAUUAGACGUUACCUGCAGAAUAAGCACCGGCUAACUCUGUGCCAGCAGCCGCGGUAAUACAGAGGGUGCGAGCGUUAAUCGGAAUUACUGGGCGUAAAGCGAGUGUAGGUGGCUCAUUAAGUCACAUGUGAAAUCCCCGGGCUUAACCUGGGAACUGCAUGUGAUACUGGUGGUGCUAGAAUAUGUGAGAGGGAAGUAGAAUUCCAGGUGUAGCGGUGAAAUGCGUAGAGAUCUGGAGGAAUACCGAUGGCGAAGGCAGCUUCCUGGCAUAAUAUUGACACUGAGAUUCGAAAGCGUGGGUAGCAAACAGGAUUAGAUACCCUGGUAGUCCACGCCGUAAACGAUGUCUACUAGCCGUUGGGGUCCUUGAGACUUUAGUGGCGCAGUUAACGCGAUAAGUAGACCGCCUGGGGAGUACGGCCGCAAGGUUAAAACUCAAAUGAAUUGACGGGGGCCCGCACAAGCGGUGGAGCAUGUGGUUUAAUUCGAUGCAACGCGAAGAACCUUACCUGGUCUUGACAUAGUGAGAGUCUUUCAGAGAUGAGAGAGUGCCUUCGGGAAUUCACAUACAGGUGCUGCAUGGCUGUCGUCAGCUCGUGUCGUGAGAUGUUGGGUUAAGUCCCGCAACGAGCGCAACCCUUUUCCUUAUUUGCCAGCGGGUUAAGCCGGGAACUUUAAGGAUACUGCCAGUGACAAACUGGAGGAAGGCGGGGACGACGUCAAGUCAUCAUGGCCCUUACGACCAGGGCUACACACGUGCUACAAUGGUAGGUACAGAGGGUUGCUACACAGCGAUGUGAUGCUAAUCUCAAAAAGCCUAUCGUAGUCCGGAUUGGAGUCUGCAACUCGACUCCAUGAAGUCGGAAUCGCUAGUAAUCGCAGAUCAGAAUGCUGCGGUGAAUACGUUCCCGGGCCU
rnacentral:rRNA from 1 species